GAUGAACGCUGGCGGCGUGCUUAACACAUGCAAGUCGAACGGAAAGGCCCAAGCUUGCUUGGGUACUCGAGUGGCGAACGGGUGAGUAACACGUGGGUGAUCUGCCCUGCACUUCGGGAUAAGCCUGGGAAACUGGGUCUAAUACCGGAUAGGACGAUGGUUUGCAUGCCAUUGUGGAAAGUAUUUUCGGUGUGGGAUGAGCUCGCGGCGUAUCAGCUUGUUUGUGGGGUAAUGGCCUACCAAGGCGUCGCCGGGUAGCCGGCCUGAGAGGGUGUACGGCCGCAUUGGGACUGAGAGACGGCCCAGGCUCCGACGGGAGGGAGCAGGGGGGAAGAUUGAACAAGGGGCGCAAGCCGGGUGCAGCAACGCCGCGGGGGGUAUGACGGCCUUCGUGUUGUAGACUCCUGUCGCUAGGGACGAAGCGAUUUUGUGACGGUACCUGGAGAAGAAGCACCGGCUAACUACGUG
rnacentral:rRNA from 1 species